UACGAAGGGGGCUAGCGUUGUUCGGAAUCACUGGGCGUAAAGCGUACGUAGGCGGACGAAUAAGUCAGGGGUGAAGGCCUGGAGCUCAACUCCAGAACUGCCUUUGAUACUGUUCGUCUUGAGUCCGGGAGAGGUGAGUGGAACUGCUAGUGUAGAGGUGAAAUUCGUAGAUAUUAGCAAGAACACCAGUGGCGAAGGCGGCUCACUGGCCCGGUACUGACGCUGAGGUACGAAAGCGUGGGGAGCAAACAGG
rnacentral:rRNA from 1 species